CCUACGGGAGGCAGCAGUGAGGAAUAUUGGUCAAUGGGCGCGAGCCUGAACCAGCCAAGUAGCGUGAAGGAUGACUGCCCUACGGGUUGUAAACUUCUUUUAUAAAGGAAUAAAGUGAGGCCCGUGUGCCUUUUUGUAUGUACUUUAUGAAUAAGGAUCGUCUAACUCCGUGCCAGCAGCCUCGGUAAUCCGGAGGAUCCGAGCGUUAUCCGGAUUUGUUGGGUUUAAAGGGAGCGUAGAUGGGUUGUUAAGUCAGUUGUGAAAGUUUGCGGCUCAACCGUAAAAUUGAAAUUGAUACUGGCAGCCGUGAGUACAGUUGAGGUAGGCGGAAUUCGUGGUGUAGCGGUGAAAUGCUUAGAUAUAACGAAGAACUCCGAUUGCGAAGGCAGCCUACUAAACUGCCACUGACAUUGAUGCUCGAAAGUGUGGGUAUCAAACAGGAUUAGAUACCCUAGUAGUC
rnacentral:rRNA from 1 species